rnacentral:rRNA from 1 species
GACGAACGCUGGCGGCGUGCUUAACACAUGCGAGUCGAACGGAAAGGCCCCUUUGGGGGUACUCGAGUGGCGAACGGGUGAGUAACACGUGAGUAACCUGCCCUUGACUUCGGGAUAACUUCAGGAAACUGGGGCUAAUACCGGAUAGGAAUCCUUGCUGCGUGGUGGGGGUUGGAAAGCUUCUGCGGUUUUGGAUGGACUCGCGGCUUAUCAGCUUGUUGGUGGGGUAGUGGCUUACCAAGGCUUUGACGGGUAGCCGGCCUGAGAGGGCGACCGGCCACAUUGGGACUGAGAUACGGCCCAGACUCCUACGGGAGGCAGCAGUGGGGAAUAUUGCACAAUGGGCGGAAGCCUGAUGCAGCAACGCCGCGUGCGGGAUGACGGCCUUCGGGUUGUAAACCGCUUUCAGCAGGGGCGAAGCUUGUGGUGACGGUACCUGCAGAAGAAGCACCGGCUAACUACGUG